UACGUAGGGUGCGAGCGUUAAUCGGAAUUACUGGGCGUAAAGGGUGCGCAGGCGGUCCUGCAAGUCAGGCGUGAAAUCCCCGGGCUUAACCUGGGAAUGGCACUUGAAACUACGGGACUGGAGUAUGGCAGAGGGAGGUGGAAUUCCACGUGUAGCGGUGAAAUGCGUAGAGAUGUGGAGGAACACCGAUGGCGAAGGCAGCCGCCUGGGCCAAUACUGACGCUCAUGCACGAAAGCGUGGGGAGCAAACAGG
rnacentral:rRNA from 1 species